UGGGGUAUAUUGCACAAUGGGCGCAAGCCUGAUGCAGCCAUGCCGCGUGUAUGAAGAAGGCCUUCGGGUUGUAAAGUACUUUCAGUCGGGAGGAAGGUGGUAAGGUUAAUAACCUUAUCAAUUGACGUUACCGACAGAAGAAGCACCGGCUAACUCCGUGCCAGCAGCCGCGGUAAUACGGAGGGUGCAAGCGUUAAUCGGAAUUACUGGGCGUAAAGCGCACGCAGGCGGUUGAUUGAGUCAGAUGUGAAAUCCCCGGGCUUAACCCGGGAAUUGCAUCUGAUACUGGUCAGCUAGAGUCUUGUAGAGGGGGGUAGAAUUCCAUGUGUAGCGGUGAAAUGCGUAGAGAUGUGGAGGAAAAACGGUGGCGAAGGCGGCCCCCUGGACAAAGACUGACGCUCAGGUGCGAAAGCGUGGGGAGCAAACAGG
rnacentral:rRNA from 1 species